GACGAACGCUGGCGGCGUGCCUAAUACAUGCAAGUCGAACGCAGUGGGGACGGGUGAGUAACACGUGGGUAACCUCCCCUCAGAGGGGAUACCACUUGGAAAAAGGUGCUAAACGGAUACUGUUGGAUGGACCCGCGGUUCAUUAGCUAUGUGGUGAGGUAACGGCUCUCCAAGGCCACUAUGCAUAGCCUACCUGAGAGGGUGAUCGGCCACACUGGAACUGUGACACGGCCCAGACUCCUACGGGAGGCAGCAGUAGGGAAUCUUCGGCAAUGGACGAAAGGCUGACUGAGCAACGCCGCGUGAGUGAAGAAGGUUUUCGGAUCGUAAAACUCUGUUGUUAGAGAAGCGGUAUCUAACCAGAAAGCCACGGCUAACUACGUGCCAGCCGCCGCGGUAAUUC
rnacentral:rRNA from 1 species